rnacentral:rRNA from 1 species
UACGUAGGGUGCAAGCGUUGUCCGGAAUUAUUGGGCGUAAAGAGCUCGUAGGCGGUUUGUCGCGUCGAAUGUGAAAAUCCAGGGCUCAACCCUGGACCUGCAUUCGAUACGGGCAGACUAGAGUUCGGCAGGGGAGACUGGAAUUCCUGGUGUAGCGGUGAAAUGCGCAGAUAUCAGGAGGAACACCGGUGGCGAAGGCGGCUCUCUGGGCCGAUACUGACGCUGAGGAGCGAAAGCGUGGGGAGCGAACAGG